CUAGAGACAGAGGCUUAUGGCUCUAAACCAUAAGAGCUGAGAGCCUCUAGUUUCUGGCUGUAGAAGCUAGAGAC
rnacentral:miRNA from 1 species